rnacentral:lncRNA from 10 species
UAUUUUCUGUAGAGAUGGGGUUUCACCAUGUUGGCCAGGCUACCCUUGAACUCCUGACCGCAGGUGAUCCUCCUGCCUCGGCCUCCCAAAGUGCUGAGAUUACAGGCAUGAGCCCAGCUCCAGUUUCUAAAUAACUUGCUUGUAUAGCUAUUCCUUGAUUUUUCUAUUUUAGAUACGAUCUAUGAUUUCUUAAAACAGGAAAUGAGGAUUUAACUUUUACACCCCCACACAAAACUCUUUCCCUUCCCCUAUCCUCUCAAUACAAUUAUAUCAUAAAAUUUAGAAUUAAGUAUUUAUAAUAUAUAUAUUUUUUGAGACAGGGUCUCAGUCUCACUCUGUCUCCCAGGCUGGAGUGCAGUGGUGCAGUCAUAGCUCACUUCAGCCUCCAAUUCCUGGACUCAAGCCAUCCUCCUGCCUCGGCCUCCAGAGUAGCUGGGACUAGAGGCAUGUGCCAGUGUGGGCAGCUAAUUUUUAAAAUUUUUUUGUAGAGACAGGGGUCUCGUAUGUUGCCCAAACUGGUCUUGAACUCCUGGUUUCAAGUGAUUCUCAUGCCUCAGCCUCCUAAAGUGCUGGGAUUACAGGCAUGAGCCACCACUCCAAGCCCCUAAGUGUCCGUUCUUUGCAUUCCCUUGGCACUCCGUGUACACCUGCCACUGUUACAUCAGUUGUUGUCUGCUGCAUAACAAACUAUCUCAGAGCGUAGUGGCUUAAAACAAUUUUCAUGUAUUCUCUCGCAGUUCUGUGGAUCAGGAAUUCAGGGCAUGACGGGAUUGGCUUGGCUCUGCUCCACGACGUGUGGGGCCUCAGCUGGAAGACCGGAAGACUGGAGGGCUGACGUUACCUGCAGGCUUCAUGGAGGCUGGAGGCUUGGUUUCCCAGAUGGCUCACUCACACGGCAGGCAAGUUGGUGCUGGUUAUUGGCAGCCGGCCUCAGUUCCUCCUGAGCAGCUCUAUAGGUUGCGUGGAUGUCCUCGUGAUGCGGCAGCUGGCUUGCCCCCGGAGUGGGGGCUCUGAGAGAGAGAGAGCAAGGCAGAAGCACAAUGUCUUUUAUGACCUAGCCCCAGAAAUCACACACUGUCAUUUCCAUCACAUUUAGUUUAUUAAAAGCAAGUCCCAGCCAGGUGUGGUGGCUCAUGCCUGUAAUCCCAGCACUUUGGGAGGCCGAGGCAGGCGGAUCACUUGAGACUUUGUGCUCCAUCAGUUGAAGAGUAGGAUGAAGAAAAAAAAAAAAGGUUACAUGAAGAUGAUGGAAUUAUAAUCAGGCCUUGAAGAACGGAGACAAUUCCAGCCAUUGUUGUAGAUGUGGAGGCUGAAGGACAUUCCAAUUUGAAGGAACAGAAGAUGGGAUCUCACUCUGCUGCCCAGGCUGGUCUCCUCCUGCCUUGGCCUCCCAAAGUGUUGGAAUUACAAGUGUGAGCCACUGUGCCUGGCCCUGAAUAAGUUUCUUGACCCAGAGUUCCUGAAGAGGAGGAUGGGAACCUUGGAGGCUGUUUCUCCAGGCUGAUGGAGUUUCGCUCUUGUUGCCCAGGCUAGAGUGCAAUGGCGCGAUCUCAGCUCACUGCAACCUCUGCCUCCUGGGUUCAAGCAAUUCUCCUGCCUCAUCCUCCUGAGUAGCUGAGAUUACAGUGAUGGAGUCUUGUUGUGUUGCCCAGCCUGGCGUCUAACCCCUGGCCUCAAGCGAUCUUCCUGCCUUGGCCCCCCAAAGUGCUGGAAGUAUAGGCAUGAGUCACCACGCCCAGCCAAAUUUGUGUCUUAUUUUUAAUAAAUUUGGACGUGGUCGUAAUUUAAAGAGUUAAAUACUUCCAAAGACAUGUUAGAAAAAAGAGAAGAUCCUUUUCAACUCUCCUCCAUUUUCAGCUCCUCAGAAGUAAGCAUUUUUUCAGUUCUUAUAGCUGAUCUUUUGUUAUUUGGUUUAUAUUUAUAUGUCUAAAUAAUACAGUUAUGUCUUUAGCUCUUGGUUUUUUUUUUCAGUAUUACCUAUUAUCUAUUGACUUACCGUGUGGACAGUGAGGGUUAGCUCUCUUUCACUUCCCAGUCACACACACCAGUCACACACACACACACCAGUCACACACACACACACCAGUCACACACACACACACAC